rnacentral:rRNA from 1 species
UACGGGGGGAGCAAGCGUUGUUCGGAUUUACUGGGCGUAAAGGGCGCGUAGGCGGCACCGCAAGUCGACUGUGAAAUCUCCGGGCUUAACUCGGAAAGGUCAGCCGAUACUUCGGGGCUAGAGUGCAGAAGGGGCAACUGGAAUUCUCGGUGUAGCGGUGAAAUGCGUAGAUAUCGAGAGGAACACCUGCGGCGAAGGCGGGUUGCUGGGCUGACACUGACGCUGAUGCGCGAAAGCUAGGGGAGCGAACGGG